rnacentral:rRNA from 1 species
AACGAUGGGAGCUUGCUCCCAGGCGUCGAGCGGCGGACGGGUGAGUAACGCGUAGGAAUCUACCCAGUAGAGGGGGAUAGCCCGGGGAAACUCGGAUUAAUACCGCAUACGCCCUAAGGGGGAAAGGCCGGGAUCUUCGGACCGGUCGCUAUUGGAUGAGCCUGCGUAAGAUUAGCUUGUUGGUGGGGUAAAGGCCUACCAAGGCGACGAUCUUUAGCUGGUCUGAGAGGACGAUCCGCCACAUUGGGACUGAGACACGGCCCAAACUCC